GGCAGUGACACGGGGUGCCCUUGAGGGGCUGAGAAGAAACCCGUUGAACCUGAUCUAGUUCGUACUAGCGAAGGGAUGUCAUGCAGCGGCCGC
rnacentral:ncRNA from 2 species